GAUGAAGACAUCCUGCAAACUCUGACAGCUGAAGAAAACGUUGUGCAAGUAAUUAUUGGCCUAGAUACUGCUGAAAUGCUAAGUGAACUAGAGUCAUUUGGUCAAUCUGAAGUUGAUUAUGGCAUAGAUGAUUUUGACGAUGAGGACAGUGAUAUUGAUGACGAAGAUGACCUCGAUGAAGAUGACAAUGAUGAUGGUGACAGUGACGAGGAUUGGGUUGCCAU
rnacentral:misc_RNA from 1 species